CUUACCAUAAUCAAAUAAGCCAACUCGUUGACUGUUGAAAGAUUACUAAAUUGAAAGAAUUAUUAAAAACAUCCAAAUAUCAUUUCAGGGUUCUGCAGUAUUUUGGUACAAUCUCAAGCAGAGUGGAAAGGAAGAUGCUCUCACUUUGCAUGGUGCUUGUCCUGUUGCUAUUGGUAGUAAGUGGGUUGCCAACUUCUGGAUUCGAGAAAAAGGACAAGUAUUCCGAAGAAGAUGUGCACUCGAUGCUGAUUUAUGACCAUGGAAUUGAUGAACAUUAAUUGAGCAAGCUUCUUCAUUGAAGUCAAACUUGUAAUUACCCACCUGUGACACACAGACUAGAAGCCAAGUAAGAGUAUGCGCAGUUUAUGCAACCACAUCAAGAAGAACUAUUACUAGUGACUUGUUGAAUAACCUGAAGCCCAAAAUAGUUCCAGCAGGAACUUCACAUACUUUAAAAGAACUCUCAGCUUUGGACAGAGCUUAUUUGAAUUACAAAAGUAUACUACAUUUCAAGGUGACAACCCAGAACAGACUUUCAAAAAUAUGUAGUUAUUCAUAAAUUUUUUAAGUGUGUACAAAGAAUGUAAAUAAAUAUCUUUUUAAAGAACUUUGCAAAACAAACAACUUGACAAAA